CACGUAGGCACCAAGCGUUGUCCGGAUUUAUUGGGCGUAAAGGGCGCGUAGGCGGCUUUGCAAGUGACGGGUGAAAGCCCUCGGCUUAACCGAGGAACUGCCUGUCAGACCGUGAGGCUUGAGACCGGGAGAGGUGAGUGGAAUUCCCAGUGUAGCGGUGAAAUGCGUAGAUAUUGGGAGGAACACCAGUGGCGAAGGCGGCUCACUGGACCGGAACUGACGCUGAGGCGCGAAAGCGUGGGGAGCAAACAGG
rnacentral:rRNA from 1 species